rnacentral:rRNA from 1 species
GGAAUUAUUGGGCGUAAAGCGCGCGCNGGCGNUCCUUUAAGUNUGAUGUGAAAGCCCACGGCUUAACCGUGGAGGGUCAUUGGAAACUGGAGGACUUGAGUACAGAAGAGGAGAGUGGAAUUNCACGUGUAGCGGUGAANUGCGUAGAGAUGUGGAGGAACACCAGUGGCGAAGGCGACUCUCUGGUCUGUAACUGACGCUGAGGCGCGAAAGCGUGGGGAGCGAACAGGAUUAGAUACCCUGGUAGUCCACGCCGUAAACGAUGAGUGCUAGGUGUUAGGGGGUUUCCGCCCCUUAGUGCUGAAGUUAACGCAUUAAGCACUCCGCCUGGGGAGUACGGCCGCAAGGCUGAAACUCAAAAGAAUUGACGGGGGCCCGCACAAGCGGUGGAGCAUGUGGUUUAAUUCGACGCAACGCGAAGAACCUUACCAGGUCUUGACAUCCUCUGCAAUCGGUAGAGAUACCGAGUUCCCUUCGGGGACAGAGUGACAGGUGGUGCAUGGUUGUCGUCAGCUCGUGUCGUGAGAUGUUGGGUUAAGUCCCGCAACGAGCGCAACCCUUGAUCUUAGUUGCCAGCAUUAAGUUGGGCACUCUAAGGUGACUGCCGGUGACAAACCGGAGGAAGGUGGGGAUGACGUCAAAUCAUCAUGCCCCUUAUGACCUGGGCUACACACGUGCUACAAUGGAUGGAACAAAGGGCAGCAAAACCGCGAGGUCAAGCAAAUCCCAUAAAACCAUUCUCAGUUCGGAUUGCAGGCUGCAACUCGCCUGCAUGAAGCCGGAAUCGCUAGUAAUCGCGGAUCAGCAUGCCGCGGUGAAUACGUUCCCGGGCCUUGUACACACCGCCCGUCACACCACGAGAGUUGGUAACACCCGAAGUCGGUGAGGUA